GCCUGGAGAGAGAAGUUAAUAGGGCUGAACCCAGUUCAGCUGGGGGAGGGGGAUGACUGGGAAGAAAAGCAGGUUGUUGAUUCUCACACAGUGAAAGAAGGUUGGCUGAAGUCAGGGAACUGAGCUGGUCUCUUCCUCCUUGAAGGAGGAUAGGUCUGCAACAGGGAGUACAAGACAGUGGAGAAUGAAAUCGACCUAGGUUUCUCUGCACUGGGAGAGAAGCCUGCAGAAUCAGGGACUGCCCUGCAAGGGGAAUGGAGAAAACUGUCCUGCAGUAGAACCAGCUUGGUGGCAGAAAGUGCUAAGAAAGUCCGCAGUGAGCCUGGGAAAGAGGCUUAGAGAGAGAGAGAGGCAGUGAUAUACUGUUAGCCUAAGAAGAGGCUGUGGCAAAAGCCCAAGACAAGUUGAGAUAGGAAGUGAUCCAGGGAGGCAGCAAGGGAUCUGCCUAGCUAGCUCUUGACUGGACUGGAACCCAGUAGAGGGGGUUGGCCUGGGUUCCCCAACUAGCCCACUGAGGAACAUGGGGUAGCAAUCUCUGGACACAAGGGGUAUGGAUUAUGGACACACCUUGAUACUAAGGAUACAUCCUGAGUUGGACUGAAGAUGGAUGGACUAUUGGAUUACUGGGUUAGUCUUGCCCAUCCAGGCUAUGUGACCUCAUUGGCAGGCUGAGUCACAAGAAGCAGUUUGCUGAAGCAGCUGUCAGUAGGGUACACCAGAUGAGCACGCACUAUGCUAUGCCAUGCCCAGCUACAAGGUCGCACGUGGGCUGUUUACCAACAUGCUUCUUGAAUUGUGGACCCCAGAACUGGACCCAGGAUUCCGACAGCAGUCACAUGAAUGUCAAAUUCACUGACUUUAGGGAUUAGAAGAGAGAUAAAGGAAUCGACUUUGAAUAAAGCAUGCGGUGGCAGGAGGAGAGGGCAGAUGAGCUACACAUUUGUUCCUUCUGCAGGUGGAGCCUAUCCUAAGUGAAGUGGUCUCUUCUGCUGUAGUGAGGCCUAGAAUCUUAAACUGUCCAAUGUGAAUAGAAGAUGACAAGACGCUACCUUAAAUUGUAAACAUGUUAUGUGAAAACUGUUUAUAAAUUAAGAAUAAAUGGGAGUCAAAACAUCUGCUACAAAUUAGAUGUGUUUAAACUGUACAAUUGCGAUGAAGGCUUGUGGUGAGGUCACAAUUGUUAUGGGAACAAUAUGUGUUGUCUUAUAA